rnacentral:tRNA from 1 species
GGAGUUGUGGCUUAGUGGUAGAGCACUUGCCUAGCAUGUGUGAGGCACUGGGUUCAAUUCUCAGCACCA